GACGUAGGAUGCAAGCGUUAUCCGGAAUCAUUGGGCGUAAAGCGUUCGUAGGCGGCAUGUCAAGUCUGAUGUUAAAGCCCGGAGCUCAACUCCGGUUCGGCAUUGGAUACUGGCAAGCUAGAGUGCAAUAGAGGUAAGGGGAAUUCCUAGUGUAGCGGUGAAAUGCGUAGAUAUUAGGAGGAACACCGGUGGCGAAAGCGCCUUACUGGGUUGUGACUGACGCUGAGGAACGAAAGCCAGGGUAGCAAAUGGG
rnacentral:rRNA from 1 species